GGUAGCUUAGUGGCAGAGCACUUGCCUAGUGUGCAUGAGGCCAUGGGUUCAAUUCCCAGGACCA
rnacentral:tRNA from 1 species